rnacentral:lncRNA from 1 species
GCUUGCUACCUGAAUGAAUGAUCAGAAGCCGGAAAAAUCAGCUUUCAAAAGGAGCUUAGGAACAAGCAGAGAGAAAAUCCCACCUCAAAGGAUCUGGAGAACUGGCCAGAGAUCACCCCAGAAGAGAGUACAGGAGCCAGGAUUUGGACGCAGGUCUCUCUGACUCAAAUCCUUUUCUCUUUCCCUUACUUCAUCCUCCCCCUCAUCUCCUGAAAAUUAGAAGCCGGAUCCUGGAAUACACACAGAAAACCCUCCACCCAUUUUAAGGAUACAUCAAGAUCAAAACUCAUUGAUAUUGUAAUCUUACUAGUUUGAACUUUAAAACAUUUUACUGCC